UACGUAGGGUGCGAGCGUUGUUCGGAAUUAUUGGGCGUAAAGAGCUUGUAGGCGGUUUGUCGCGUCUGCUGUGAAAUCCCAGGGCUUAACCCUGGGCCUGCAGUGGGUACGGGCAAACUAGAGUGCGGUAGGGGAGAUCGGAAUUCCUGGUGUAGCGGUGAAAUGCGCAGAUAUCAGGAGGAACACCGGUGGCGAAGGCGGAUCUCUGGGCCGUAACUGACGCUGAGGAGCGAAAGCAUGGGUAGCGAACAGG
rnacentral:rRNA from 1 species